rnacentral:rRNA from 1 species
CUACGGGGUGCUGCAGUGAGGAAUAUUGCACAAUGGGGGGAACCCUGAUGCAGCAACGCCGCGUGGAGGAUGACGCAUUUCGGUGUGUAAACUCCUUUUAUAUGUCAAGAAAAUGACGGUAGCAUAUGAAUAAGCACCGGCUAACUCCGUGCCAGCAGCCGCGGUAAUACGGAGGGUGCAAGCGUUACUCGGAAUCACUGGGCGUAAAGGACGCGUAGGCGGGCUUGUAAGUCAGGUGUGAAAUCCUACAGCUUAACUGUAGAACUGCACUUGAAACUACGAGCCUAGAGUAUGGGAGGGGCAGAUGGAAUUAGUGGUGUAGGGGUAAAAUCCGUAGAUAUCACUAGGAAUACCUAAAGCGAAGGCGAUCUGCUGGAACAUAACUGACGCUAAGGCGUGAAAGCGUGGGGAGCAAACAGGAUUAGAUACCCCAGUAGUC